AAUCAACGCUGGCGGCGUGCCUAACACAUGCAAGUCGAACGCGGUCAGGGCUUCGGCCCUGACCGAGUGGCGAACGGGUGAGUAACACGUGGGUGACCUACCUUCGAGUGGGGGAUAACGUCCCGAAAGGGACGCUAAUACCGCAUAACAUCCUGCCUUUGAAGAGGCGGAGAUCAAAGCUGGGGAUCGCAAGACCUGGCGCUGGAAGAGGGGCCCGCGUCCGAUUAGCUAGUUGGUGAGGUUACGGCUCACCAAGGCAACAAUCGGUAGCCGGCCUGAGAGGGCGGACGGCCACACUGGGACUGAAACACGGCCCAAACUCCUACGGGAGGCAGCAGUGGGGAAUUGUUCGCAAUGGGCGCAAGCCUGACGACGCAACGCCGCGUGGAGGAUGAAGGUCUUCGGAUUGUAAACUCCUGUUGCCCGGGACGAACGGCUCCGACCUAAUACGUCGGAGUGUGACGGUACCGGGUGAGGAAGCCCCGGCUAACUCUGUGCCAGCAGCCGCGGUAAUACAGAGGGGGCAAGCGUUGUUCGGAAUUACUGGGCGUAAAGGGCGCGUAGGUGGCCUGCUAAGUCAAACGUGAAAUCCCUGGGCUCAACCCAGGAACUGCGUCCGAGACUGGUUGGCUCGAAUCCGGGAGAGGGAUGUGAAUUC
rnacentral:rRNA from 1 species